AUGAAGAAAUGCAUACGAAAGUUAGAAAAUGUCGCGAGAAAGAAAUGCACAGAAGAAAUCGACGGAGGGAGCCGGAAGAACACUUGUCUCCAAGCACAUGCUGGAUUUAUGUCAGGAAUCUCAGGAUUUAUGUCAGGUGUCGUGUUUAUGAGAAAGGGAAGAGGUCAACCUAAAGGGCCGAGCCUUCAAACAAAGGUUAAAUGGGGUGCAAGUUAA